rnacentral:rRNA from 1 species
CGGAGGAAAAGAAACCAACUGGGAUUACCUUAGUAACGGCGAGUGAAGCGGUAAAAGCUCAAAUUUGAAAUCUGGUACUUUCAGUGCCCGAGUUGUAAUUUGUAGAAUUUGUCUUUGAUUAGGUCCUUGUCUAUGUUCCUUGGAACAGGACGUCAUAGAGGGUGAGAAUCCCGUUUGGCGAGGAUACCUUUUCUCUGUAAGACUUUUUCGAAGAGUCGAGUUGUUUGGGAAUGCAGCUCAAAGUGGGUGGUAAAUUCCAUCUAAAGCUAAAUAUUGGCGAGAGACCGAUAGCGAACAAGUACAGUGAUGGAAAGAUGAAAAGAACUUUGAAAAGAGAGUGAAAAAGUACGUGAAAUUGUUGAAAGGGAAGGGCAUUUGAUCAGACAUGGUGUUUUUUGCAUGCACUCGCCUCUCGUGGGCUUGGGCCUCUCAAAAAUUUCACUGGGCCAACAUCAAUUCUGGCAGCAGGAUAAAUCAUUAAGAAUGUAGCUACUUCGGUAGUGUUAUAGCUUUUUGGAAUACUGUUAGCCGGGAUUGAGGACUGCGCUU